rnacentral:lncRNA from 1 species
CCUGUAGUUUCAACCGAGAGCCAAAGAGCAUCGCAACUGCAGGAUCUAUCUACAAAGUCGUCCCUCGAGCUCGGCUCGGGGUGCCCUGCGGCGUCAAUGGGGAGCCACUGAAGAGCUUCUCUGUCCGUAGUAUUCUACAAGUGCGCCCCCCAAUCUGAGUAGAGGGCGCCCUACGACGUCAACGGAGAACCGUUGAAGAGCACCCCCGUCCGCAGUAUUCUACAAGUACGCUCUCGAUCUAAGUGGGGGGC